rnacentral:rRNA from 1 species
UACGUAGGGGGCAAGCGUUAUCCGGAUUUACUGGGUGUAAAGGGAGCGUAGACGGCAACACAAGUCUGAAGUGAAAUGCCGGGGCUUAACCCCGGAACUGCUUUGGAAACUGGCGGACUAGAGUGCGGGAGGGGUAAGCGGAAUUCCUAGUGUAGCGGUGAAAUGCGUAGAUAUUCGGAGGAACACCAGUGGCGAAGGCGGCCUGCUGGGCUUUUACUGACGCUGAUGCUCGAAAGCAUGGGUAGCAA